UGGGGAAUAUUGCACAAUGGGCGAAAGCCUGAUGCAGCGACGCCGCGUGAGGGAUGACGGCCUUUGGGUUGUAAACCUCUUUCAGUAGGGACGAAGCGCAAGUGACGGUACCUGCAGAAGAAGCACCGGCUAACUACGUGCCAGCAGCCGCGGUAAUACGUAGGGUGCGAGCGUUGUCCGGAAUUACUGGGCGUAAAGAGCUCGUAGGCGGUUUGUCACGUCGUCUGUGAAAUCCUAGGGCUUAACCCUGGACGUGCAGGCGAUACGGGCUGACUUGAGUACUACAGGGGAGACUGGAAUUUCUGGUGUAGCGGUGGAAUGCACAGAUAUCAGGAAGAACACCGAUGGCGAAGGCAGGUCUCUGGGUAGUAACUGACGCUGAGGAGCGAAAGCAUGGGUAGCGAACAGG
rnacentral:rRNA from 1 species